rnacentral:misc_RNA from 1 species
GAUGAAGAACGUAGCGAAAUGCGAUAAGUAGUGUGAAUUGCAGAAUUCAGUGAAUCAUCGAAUCUUUGAACGCACAUUGCGCCCUUUGGUAUUCCAAAGGGCAUGCCUGUUCGAGCGUCAUUUGUACCCUCAAGCUUUGCUUGGUGUUGGGCGUCUUGUCUCUAGCUUUGCUGGAGACUCGCCUUAAAGUAAUUGGCAGCCGGCCUACUGGUUUCGGAGCGCAGCACAAGUCGCACUCUCUAUCAGCAAAGGUCUAGCAUCCAUUAAGCCUUUUUUUUCAACUUUUGACCUCGGAUCAGGUAGGGAUACCCGCUGAACUUAAGCAUAUCAUAAGCGGAGGA